CCUGAAAAGGUGAUGGAACAGCUUGUGCUGGAAGGCAUCUCCAGACACUUGGAAGAAAAGGAGGUUAUCAGGAGGAGUCAACAUGGGCUCACAAAGGGGAGGUCAUGCUCGACCAACCUUGUAGCCUUCUAUGAUGUUGUCACUGGCUGGGUGGGUGUGGGAACGGUGGUGGAUGUAGUCUACUUUGAUUUCAGCAAGGCAUUUGAUACUGUCUCCCAUGAUGUCCUUAUAACAAAGCUGAGGAAGGGUGGGAUAGAUCAGUGGACAGUGAGGUGGGUUGAGAACUGUCUGACUGGAAGAGAGCAGAGGGUCGUCAUUGGCACUGUAGAGGCCAGUUGGAGACCUGUAACUAGCGGUGUUCUCUGGGGGUUGGUGCCGGGUCUGGUCUUGUUCAACAUCUUCAUCAGUGACCUUGAUGAGGGGAUAGUGUCCACCCUCAGCAAGUUUGCUGAUGAUACAAAGUUGGGAGGAUUGGCUGACAUGCCUGAAGGCUGUGCUGCCAUUCAGCGAGACCUGGACAGGCUGGAGAGCUGGGCAGUAAGAAACCAGAUGAGAUUUAACAGAAGCAAGUGUAGAGUCCUGCAUACAGGGAGGAAUAAUUGCAUGCACCAAUACAGGUUGGAGGAAGACCUGCUUGAGAGAAACUCUGCAGAGAGGGACCUGGGUGUCCUGGUGGAUGACAGGUUGACCAUGAGCCAGCAGUGUGCCCUCGUGGCCAAAAAGGCAAAUGGCAUUCUGGGGUGCAUUAAGAAGAGCGUGGCCAGCAGGUCAAUGGAGGUUAUCAUCCCCUUCUACUCUGCCCUGGUAAGGCCUCAUCUGGAGUACUGUGUCCACUUCUGGGCUCCCCAGUAUAAAAAAGACAGGGAUCUAUUGGAAAGAGUCCAGCAGAGGGCCACAAAGAUGGUGAAGGGCCCGGAGCAUCUCCCCUAUGAAGAAAGGCUAAGUGAACUGGGUCUGUUUAGCCUGGAGAAAAGAAGACUGAGAGGGAACCUGAUCCAAGUCAAUAAAUAUCUGAGGUGUGGAGGGCAAAGUGGGGAGGCCAAACACUUUUCAGCAGUGUGUGGGGACAGGACAAGGGGAAAUGGCCAGAAAAUGGAGCAUAGGAAGAUCCACACGAAUGUGUGGAAGAACUUCUUUACGGUGAGAGUGAUGGAGCAAUGCGACAGGCUGCCCAGGGAGGUGGUGGAGUCUCCUUGUCUGAAGAUGUUCAAGACCCGCCCGGACGCCUACCUGUGCAACCUAGUCUAGGGAGCCUGCUUUGGCGGGUGGGCUGGACUCGAUCAUCUUGAGAGCUCCCUUCCAGCCCCUACAAUUCUGUGAAUCUGGGUCAUGCAGAAGACAAAUACGGACACUGCUAUGGGAGAUGUAAGCAAAGGAUCGAAUCUCUUGGUCUACGUUAUCAUAUAUUCUUUUAUUUUCUUUCCUACAUAUAACUACAGCAAAUUAUCUCAGUGUUCACUGCUGUUGGACUGAAGGGGUCAAAAGGAUGGGAGAGGAGCACCUACCUUCUGUUUACGUCUGUUUACAAGGGUGGAUAAUGACAGAAAAAGGGGAAAUGUUUUUAAACUAAGACAGGAAAGGAUUAGGUUACAUAGUAGGAGAAGGAUUUUUGAACAGAGGGUGAUAACUCACUGGCACAGGUUGCCCAAAGAGGUUGUGGAUACCCCAUCCCUGGAGG
ensembl:lncRNA